rnacentral:rRNA from 1 species
GAUGAAUGCUGGCGGCGCGCCUAACAUAUUCAAGUCGAACGGCCGGACCCACCUCGGUGGGCGAGGCAGUGGCGAACGGCUGAGUAACACGUGGGCAACCUGCCCCCCUCCCCGGGACAGCCUCGGGAAACCGUGGGUAAUACCGGAUACACCCCCGACGCCGCAUGGCGCCGGGGGGAAAGCUCCGGCGGGGGGGGAUGGGCCCGCGGCCUGUUAGCUUGUUGGCGGGGUAACGGCCCACCAAGGCGAUUAUGGGUAGCCGGGUUGAGAGACCGACCGGCCAGAUUGGGACUGAGACACGGCCCAA